CCUACGGGAGGCAGCAGUGAGGAAUAUUGGUCAAUGGGCGGAAGCCUGAACCAGCCAAGUAGCGUGCAGGAUGACGGCCCUACGGGUUGUAAACUUCUUUUAUACGGGAAUAACGCGCCUUACGUGUAGGGCUUUCCAUGUACCGUAUGGAUAAGGACCGGCUAAUCCCGUGCCCGCAGCCGCGGUUAUACGGAAGGUCCGGGCGUUAUCCGGAUUUAUUGGGUUUAAAGGGAGCGUAGGCCGCAUGUCAAGCUUGCUGUGAAAUGUCCGGGCUCAACCCGGGCCUUGCAGCGCGAACUGGCGUGCUUGAGUCCGCGGAAAGCAGGCGGAAUUCGUCGUGUAGCGGUGAAAUGCUUAGAUAUGACGAAGAACCCCGAUUGCGAAGGCAGCUUGCUGCAGCGGAACUGACGCUGAUGCUCGAAAGCGCGGGUAUCGAACAGGAUUAGAUACCCUGGUAGUC
rnacentral:rRNA from 1 species